GAUGAACGCUGGCGGCGUGCCUAAUACAUGCAAGUCGAGCGGCAGCACGGUCUUCGGACUGGUGGCGAGCGGCGGACGGCCGAGUAACGCGUAGGAACGUACCCCAAAGUGAGGGAUAACUGCUCGAAAGAGUAGCUAAUACCGCAUGUGAUCUAAGGAUUAAAGCUUCGGCGCUUUGGGAACGGCCUGCGUCCGAUUAGCUAGUUGGUGAGGUAAAAGCUCACCAAGGCGACGAUCGGUAGCUGGUCUGAGAGGAGGAUCAGCCACACUGGGACUGAGACACGGCCCAGACUCCUACGGGAGGCAGCAGUGGGGAAUAUUGGACAAUGGGCGAAAGCCUGAUCCAGCAAUGCCGCGUGAGUGAUGAAGGCCUUAGGGUUGUAAAGCUCUUUCGGGUGGGACGAUGAUGACGGUACCACCAGAAGAAGCCCCGGCUAACUUCGUGCCAGCCGCCGCGGUAA
rnacentral:rRNA from 1 species